rnacentral:rRNA from 1 species
CCUACGGGUGGCAGCAGUGAGGAAUAUUGGUCAAUGGACGAGAGUCUGAACCAGCCAAGUAGCGUGAAGGAUGACUGCCCUAUGGGUUGUAAACUUCUUUUAUAUGGGAAUAAAAUGUUCCACGUGUGGGAUUUUGUAUGUACCAUAUGAAUAAGGAUCGGCUAACUCCGUGCCAGCAGCCGCGGUAAUACGGAGGAUCCGAGCGUUAUCCGGAUUUAUUGGGUUUAAAGGGAGCGUAGGUGGAUUGUUAAGUCAGUUGUGAAAGUUUGCGGCUCAACCGUAAAAUUGCAGUUGAAACUGGCAGUCUUGAGUACAGUAGAGGUGGGCGGAAUUCGUGGUGUAGCGGUGAAAUGCUUAGAUAUCACGAAGAACUCAGAUUGCGAAGGCAGUUCACUGGACUGCAACUGACACUGAGGCUCGAAAGUGUGGGUAUCAAACAGGAUUAGAUACCCGUGUAGUC